rnacentral:siRNA from 1 species
UGGGUUCAGGAGUCUUAAGCU